CAGGACAUAAUUUAAUUAGAAUAUUGGCUUUGGGGGCCAAAAGAAGAGGUUUAAGUCCUUUUGUCCUGA
rnacentral:tRNA from 1 species